AAGGCAGUGCUGGUGGUUUUCCUUGACUUUAUCCUGCCUGUUUGACAUAGGAGACCCUGGAAAGAUUACUGCAAAGUCAAAUGAAGUCUUUGGCCAGACAAAUAUGCUCAACCCUCUGGAACAACAGAAAAUAAAUGUGCACCAUCAGCGAUGUGAUAAGUGACACAGCAGGGCACAAGAAGGUCAUGGACUGGGAACAGAAAACAAGUGCGGACAAGGCACAGAGUUAUAGAAAGUUGAUUCUAAAAGUGUUUAAGAUCAGUGAGGAAGGAACAUCAGCAGAGGAAAAGGCGCUCAAAUCUUCAGCACGAUUCAAGCUGAUUUAAGGAGCCGUAUCCAGCUGAUUCGAUUUUUUUUCUUUUCUGAUCACAAACGUCUAUUUGGACAUCCCAAAGAUGUUUGCAAUUCUGCCUGAAAAAGCUGUCCUUCUUCUCCCUGCGCCCCCCCCUCCCUCCCAAUCACCUUAUCAGCGUGCCGAUGAAAUGUUGACCUCAUGCAUAUUCAUUCCGCCAGGCAAUUUUAGUUAACCAAAUAUCAGAGAGUUUAUUCGCACCGCAAUCUCACCGUUCCGGGGGCCGCAUCUGCUUCACGAGACAGUUGUGAGAACGCCAUGAAUGAAAGUGUACAAAAUUGGACUAACCUUGCCUGCCCUGUAACUCUCCAUAAGAAGAUUUUCCUGCCCGUCUUCAAAGCA